GAUCAAAAGAAAUUUGGUUUAUGCUUUGCAGAAGCAGCAGAGAUCUCGUGUGUUGGGAAGGUAACUGGAAAGACAAAGUCUUUUUAUGCCCUCUGUUUAAGUCCUACUUCUCUGUCCUCAGCUACAGGUCUCCACAUCUCACAUUACAGUUCCAGCAGCAACUGCAGACCAGGUCACUGACACAACUAAACCAUCCCCAGAAACACAGAGUGACUUGUGAACUUUAUGGCACAUUUUGACACAAAGUAGUGAGAUGUGGGCUCUGAGUAUGUCAGGAUAAACCAUGGUAUCUUCACUGUUUUAUUUCAUACAUGUUGUAUCUUGAGAAAACUGAACUGUGCAAAGCCGUCUUUCUUUUUGAGGAUGUUCUGACAUUCUCUGUACUGCUGACUGAUGACAUGUAGAUAGUCUUUCUUUCAGAUUAUCUAUGGGCCUUCCAGAACAGAAUUUAUCCAUCCUAUGGGGAGAAAUCCAGACAGGAUUUGUUUGUCAUUUAGGCAACAGGCAUAUAUUCACAUCAAUAUCACAUUUAGGAACAGAGUGGACACAAUAUGCAAUGAAAAACUGAACACAAAUUGAAGAUAAUGCACAUACACUCACACUCACAUGAAAAAUGAAUUAUUAUAAAGCAAACAAAUAUGAAAGCAGUGCAUUUAGCAGUUACUGAUAAAGUUCCAUUACAGUUAAUUUACUUUCCGAAGAAUUUAUACUUGGACAGGUGCAGCACUCCUCUUAUGUCAAGAUUCUUUGACUUCUGGACUCAUAGUUCUGGAGAAAUAUAUAUAUACACGUAUAUAUUUAAUUAAAAUGAUGAGAUUCCAUCAAUGGAGUAGAAUGCUAAUGGAAAACAACCUGUAGUUUAUAGGCCCUGUCAUAUAUAAAAAUAUUAUCUUCUCAAGAGCAACAAGAAGGUGAUGGGACUUGGGCACAGCCAAAUCUGGGCAUCAAUUACAUGCAUUUUCAAAUCCACCAGCAACUGGGUCCCGCCCUGCCCUGCCUGGUUUGCCCAGAAUGGAGUAGGGGCAGCGGGGCUGGAGCUGCUGUCCCGUCCCUGGCUGGGCAGGCGGGGGAUACUCUGCUGCAAAACCCUCUCUGCGCCGGCGGAGGGCAGCCGCCACCAGGGAAAGAAACCGAGCCGUGAAUCUGCAAGUCAUGAAAAGGAAGUGCUAAAAACGGCUUGGAAACAACCGGGCUCCGCAGCAACUGGUUCGUCUAGGGCAGGGUCCUCCGGAGACAGAGUUGCCUUUUCUUCCUGGGAGCCCACUGUCAAGCUACUUCAUCUGAAACCAGUUUUCCCAUCAUUCCCAGAGCCACAGACUGAAUAAGGUUGGAAGGUACCCUCUGGAGAUCAUCCCUUUCAAUCUCAUCCCUCCUCAAAGCAGGGUCAGCUAAAGCAGGUUGCUCAGGCUCUCAGACAGUGGGUUUUGAGUAUCUCCAGGAAUGAAGACUUCACAGUCUCUCUGAUCAACCUAUUCCAGUGGCCAAUUACCCUUAGAGCAUAGAAGAGUUUUUUGUUAUGCUUAGAAUUGAUUUUCUAAGCCUUCUCCUUUCCAGGAUGAUCUCUGUCAGCAUUCUGAGCCUCUCCUCAUACUGGUCUCCAGUGGGUCUUCCUAACUCUGGACAAAACCCUUUGAUCUUGGCAGUUCAGUCAGUUUUCAGUCCAAUUCAGUGUCCACUUAUUCAGGCCAUACUUUAUCAGUUUAUAAGCAUGUUAUAGGAGAUAGUGCUGAAAGCCUUAUUAAAGUCAAGGUAAAGAAUACCCACUGUUCUUUCCUCAUUCAGUGAGCUAGUCAUCUUAUUAUAGAAGGUUAUCAGGAUGGCCAGGCAUGUUUUCCUCUUCACAAAUCCAUGUUUACUACUCCCGGUCACCUUCUUGCCCUUGAUACAUUUCAAAAUGGUUUCCAGGAGUCUUUGCUAUACUGUGUCCCAAGGGGUUGAGGAGAGUCUGACAGGCUGUAGUUCUGUAGCUCCUCCUUCUUGCCUGCCUCAAAUACACUGGUGAUAUUUACUUUCUUAUGGAAGAAUUCUUCUGCUAUAUUUAGUGGUGGUGCAGCCUCACUUUGUAUAUUGUGUGUAGUUCUGAACUCCAUAGUAUAAAAAGGAUAUUAACAUACUUGAAUGCAUCCAGAGGCCAUCAAGAAAGCUGGUAAAAGAACUGGGGAGCAUGCUCUAUUAGAGGUUGAGGACACCGGGUUUUUCUAGUUUGGAGAAAAAGAGGUCAAGAGUCAACCUCAUUUCUUUCUACAAUUUCCACAGGGGGUGAAAUGGAAAGGGAGCUUCCAGUCUCUUCUCUGUGGAAACCCAUGACAGGACAUGAGAGAACAAAACAAAGCUGUGCUGGGGAGGUUCAGACUAGAUAAUAGGGAAAAGUUUCUUUACCAUGAGGGUGAUCAAACACUGGAACAGGCUUUCUAGUGAGAUGGUUGAUGCCCUAUGUCUGUCAGUGUUCAAGAGACAUUUGGAUAACACCCUUGAUAACAUGCUUUAACUUUUGGUUUGCUCUGAAGUGCUCAGUCAGUUAGACUACAUGAUCUUUGUAGGUACCUUCCAACCAAAAUAUUAUAUUCUAAAAUUUGUCAAGUUUUGCCACAAAGCUGUACUUUAGCCAACAUUGAAGUUAUUUGUGCUAGUCCAAAAAGUGUUUCUAGAUAAAGUUAAAGUGUGUUAAGGUUAAAGAAACAGAGGCAGUCAACCUAGAUAACAUCAACCACAUAACAAAAAGUAUUAAAGUUAAAGAAUAUAAUUUAUUUUACCAAUAGUAAUGUUUACAGCAACAUAAUCUGUUACAUAGAUCAUUUUGAAAUAGCCUAAUAUUUUGAAGGAAAUUAAAUUCAGGCUUUGACAGUUAUCUGUUCUGAAGAUAAGAGCUGGGGCCACAUUGAUUCUCUGUAAUAACAUUCUGAGCUCAAAAUGCAGAAUUAAAACUUUCAGUCUGGCAGCAAGAAAGCAAUGUUCAUCUCUGUCAGACUGGUAUUGUGGCUGUCUUAUAGACAAAAAGGAAGAUAUCAGGUUCCUUAUUAAGAAAAUGGAAUAACAAUGUACACACUUAAAGUAAUGCUUGGAAAGUGUAUAUAUAUAUACUUACCCUAUAUAUACAGUAACACAUUUUUAAAAACAAAUGAUAGUGUCUCACUUAAUUAUAUGCUUUGUGGGAUACGUAUGUAGGAAAGCUG
ensembl:lncRNA